rnacentral:rRNA from 1 species
ACAUCCAGAGAAUUUAGCAGAGAUGCUUUAGUGCCUUCGGGAACUCUGAGACAGGUGCUGCAUGGCUGUCGUCAGCUCGUGUUGUGAAAUGUUGGGUUAAGUCCCGNAACGAGCGCAACCCCUAUCCUUUGUUGCCAGCGAUUCGGUCGGGAACUCAAAGGAGACUGCCGGUGAUAAACCGGAGGAAGGUGGGGAUGACGUCAAGUCAUCAUGGCCCUUACGAGUAGGGCUACACACGUGCUACAAUGGCGCAUACAAAGAGAAGCGACCUCGCGAGAGCAAGCGGACCUCAUAAAGUGCGUCGUAGUCCGGAUUGGAGUCUACAACUCGACUCCAUGAAGUCGGAAUCGCUAGUAAUCGUAGAUCAGAAUGCUACGGUGAAUACGUUCCCGGGCCUUGUACACACCGCCCGUCACACCAUGGGAGUGGGUUGCAAAAGAAGUAGAUAGCUUAACCUUCGGGAGGGCGUUUACCACUUUGUGAUUCAUGACUGGGGUGAAGUCGUAACAAGGUAGGCGUAGCGAG